CUACGGAGGGUGCAAGCGUUAAUCGGAAUUACUGGGCGUAAAGCGUACGUAGGCGGUUCGUUAAGUUAGAUGUGAAAGCCCCGGGCUUAACCUGGGAACUGCAUUUAAAACUGGCGAACUAGAGUUGAGUAGAGGGGAGUGGAAUUUCAGGUGUAGCGGUGAAAUGCGUAGAGAUCUGAAGGAACACCAGUGGCGAAGGCGACUCCCUGGACUCGAACUGACGCUGAGGUACGAAAGCGUGGGUAGCAAACGGGAUUAGAUACCCCAGUAGUCC
rnacentral:rRNA from 1 species